rnacentral:rRNA from 1 species
AUACGCUAGGCGGGAUGCUUACACAUGCAGUCGAAUCGGCAGCACGAGAGAGCUUGCUCUCUUGGUGGCGAGUGGCGGACGGGUGAGUAAUAUAUCGGAACGGUGCCCAGUAGCGGGGGAUAACUACUCGAAAGAGUGGCUAAUACCGCAUACGCCCUACGGGGGAAAGGGGGGGAUUCUUCGGAACCUCUCACUAUUGGAGCGGCCGAUAUCGGAUUAGCUAGUUGGUGGGGUAAAGGCUCACCAANGCAACGAUCCGUAGCUGGUUUGAGAGGACGACCAGCCACACUGGGACUGAGACACGGCCCAGACUCCUACGGGAGGCAGCAGUGGGGAAUUUUGGACAAUGGGGGAAACCCUGAUCCAGCCAUCCCGCGUGUAUGAUGAAGGCCUUCGGGUUGUAAAGUACUUUUGGCAGAGAAGAAAAGGUAUCUCCUAAUACGAGAUACUGCUGACGGUAUCUGCAGAAUAAGCACCGGCUAACUACGUGCCAGCAGCCGCGGUAAUACGUAGGGUGCAAGCGUUAAUCGGAAUUACUGGGCGUAAAGCGUGUGUAGGCGGUUCGGAAAGAAAGAUGUGAAAUCCCAGGGCUCAACCUUGGAACUGCAUUUUUAACUGCCGAGCUAGAGUAUGUCAGAGGGGGGUAGAAUUCCACGUGUAGCAGUGAAAUGCGUAGAUAUGUGGAGGAAAUACCGAUGGCGAAGGCAGCCCCCUGGGAUAAUACUGACGCUCAGACACGA